rnacentral:SRP_RNA from 2 species
GCUGGGCGUGGUGGUGCGCGCCUGUAAUCCCAGCUACUUGGGAGGCUAAGGCAGGAGAAUUGCUUGAACCCAGGAAGCAGAGGUUGCAGUGAGCCAAGAUCGUGCCGCUGCACUCCAGCCUGGGUGACAGAGCGAAACUCUGUCUCAA